AUACAGAAAUAUUAUGGGAAUAUGUUUUGGU
rnacentral:piRNA from 1 species